UUAACAACUCUCAGCAACGGAUAUCUCGGCUCUUGCAUCGAUGAAGAACGCAGCGAAAUGCGAUAAAUGGUGUGAAUUGCAGAAUCCCGUGAACCAUCGAGUCUUUGAACGCAAGUUGCGCCCGAGGCCAUCAGGCCAAGGGCACGCCUGCCUGGGCAUUGCGA
rnacentral:rRNA from 1 species